rnacentral:rRNA from 1 species
GAUGAAUGCUGGCGGCGUGCCUAAUACAUGCAAGUCGAGCGAACGGACGAGGAGCUUGCUUCUCUGAUGUUAGCGGCGGACGGGUGAGUAACACGUGGAUAACCUACCUAUAAGACUGGGAUAACUUCGGGAAACCGGAGCUAAUACCGGAUAAUAUUUUGAACCGCAUGGUUCAAAAGUGAAAGACGGUCUUGCUGUCACUUAUAGAUGGAUCCGCGCUGCAUUAGCUAGUUGGUAAGGUAACGGCUUACCAAGGCAACGAUGCAUAGCCGACCUGAGAGGGUGAUCGGCCACACUGGAACUGAGACACGGUCCAGACUCCUACGGGAGGCAGCAGUAGGGAAUCUUCCGCAAUGGGCGAAAGCCUGACGGAGCAACGCCGCGUGAGUGAUGAAGGUCUUCGGAUCGUAAAACUCUGUUAUUAGGGAAGAACAUAUGUGUAAGUAACUGUGCACAUCUUGACGGUACCUAAUCAGAAAGCCACGGCUAACUACGUG